UGUUGCGGUUAAAAAGCUCGUAGUUGGAUCUCGGCAGGUAGGGGGCGGUUCGUUUCUGACGGCACUGCCCCAUUUACCUGUGUUUAUGCAAGAGGUCUCAAGGUGGCUUUAAUCGGCUGUCUUGGAACGCUUGCAGUUUUACUUUGAGAAAAUUAGAGUGCUCAAAGCAGGCUACAAAGCUUGAAUAUUUGUGCAUGGAAUAAUGGAAUAGGAAGUCGUUUCUAUUUUUUUGGUUUUCGGAAAUUGACUUAAUGAUUAAUAGGGACAGCCGGGGGCAUUAGUACUCAGACGACAGAGGUGAAAUUCUUGGACCGUUUGAGGACUAACUACUGCGAAAGCAUUUGCCAAGAGUGUUUUCAUUAAUCAAGAACGAAAGUUAGAGGUUCGAAGGCGAUCAGAUACCGCCCUAGUUCUAACCAUAAACAGUGCUGACUAGCGAUCCGUAGCUGUUUUCUAUGUAGGCUCUACGGGAAGCUUCCGGGAAACCAAAGUUUUUGAGUUCCGGGGGAAGUAUGGUUGCAAAGCUGAAACUUAAAGGAAUUGACGGAAGGGCACCACCAGGAGUGGAGCCUGCGGCUUAAUUUGACUCAACACGGGAAAUCUUACC
rnacentral:rRNA from 1 species